UCCUUGGUGGUCUAGUGGCUAAGGAUCCUGUGCUCUCUCUGCUGAGGUCCGGGUUUGAUUCCUGGUUAGGGAA